rnacentral:sRNA from 1 species
ACCUCUAGUCUCGUGGAGAGAUUGAAGAUGGCGGCUUCUCAGGCGGUGGAGGAAAUGCGGAGCCGCGUGGUUCUGGGGGAGUUUGGAGUUCGCAAUGUCCAUACUACUGACUUUCCCGGUAACUAUUCCGGUUAUGAUGAUGCCUGGGACCAGGACCGCUUCGAGAAGAAUUUCCGUGUGGAUGUAGUACACAUGGAUGAAAACUCACUGGAGUUUGACAUGGUGGGAAUUGACGCAGCCAUUGCCAAUGCUUUUCGACGAAUUCUGCUAGCUGAGGUAUUGGCAGGCAUGGUGACAAGGCUGGAGUUGCUUUGGGAACUGCACUGACACCUCACUUGGAGAAUUAAGUGUCUCAAGCUGUCCUUCCCUCCUUAAUUUUCCUGGAAUUUUGCUGAGCAUUUUACCUUCUCAUUCUUUGUAAAUUUCUCAUUAAACAUUCUAGGAAGAGAGAUAGCUCCCUACCUCUGGAGGUUGGGGUUACGGGGAUAGGUAGGGGGUCUGUUGGGUUUUUGCAGAUAAGUGGUUAUUUUUCCUUGGGCAGGUGCCAACUAUGGCUGUGGAGAAGGUCC